rnacentral:tRNA from 1 species
AGAAGUGUAGCUCAGUGGUAGAGCACUUGCUUGCCAUGCAUAAGGCCCUAGGUUUAAUCCCCAGCACCACCC